GAAAGAAUUAGCUCAAAGGUUCGAGAGAGUAAGGUCUCUGGAUCUGCAUCAUACAUAACCAUGGUUUCUAGCUAGCAAGUUUCUUCUGGAACGUUGUGUAUUUGGAACUACCGGGUACAUGUGGGUGAAUAAUUUUAUUUUGUUUAUCUAUUUUCAUAUGCACAUGGUAACCAAACGUGCAAUUGAAAGAUUAUUUUCUUUAUGUAUUCUAUGAGGUUCACAGACUUCUCAUAGAUUUGUAGGAUGCUUUUAUGUUUUAUGGACCUUAUUAUAAUUAGGAUCUUGCUCGAUAAUCUUCUGGUGA